rnacentral:lncRNA from 1 species
GUCGUGUUUCCACACAAUUUCUCGUUUUCCCAAUUUCCACUCGUGUUGAUAUAACUGUAUAUCAACACGGAAAAUGUUUUAUAUUUGUUAAAUAUAACAUGAACCGAGUGAGCACUGAUUUCAAAAUUUUGGUGAAAAUCAGUGUACAAAAUAUGCAGAUUUGAGAUGUUUCGGUUUGUCAGACAGGGUCGUUCCUAGCGCGAUAAUUAGGGGAGGGGGUGUAUAUUCAUAUAUUGGUGUUUUGCCCGACGGAUUUUUUUUGAGACCGAUUGUUUUUACGGGAUGUGAACAAGAAUAUAUGAAUAUACACCCCCCCCCNNNNNNNNNNNNNNNNNNNNCCCCCCCCCCCCCCCCCCCUCAAUUAUCGCGUCUAGGAACGGCCCUGUUGUCAGGAAUGUUGGAACAACUUCAUGCAACAAGUCUGUUGAGCUCAACAACAACCUUGUAGCAAGUUUUCAACAAGCCGUUGACAACUUGUCAACAAGCUGGGAACAAGCAGUGCGAACACAUCCUGUUGACAAGUUGUUGGAACAGCAUUGCUACAAGUCUGUUGCAAGUUUGUUACAAUUUGUGCGUUAUUACGUGUGUAAUUUUCAUCAAAAUCGAUGUUGCAAUAUUCAAUAUGUCGCUUCCAUCACCCGCGGUUUUAAACAGCUCCUUGACAUAAAAUCUCGCUUUAAACCGAGUCUUUGAUUUCAGAUUUGUUCAAAUUUUAAUCUACAAAUACGUUUCUACCAUUUCGCGUCUUUGUUUUGUGUUUCCAUUCAUUUCGUGGCAAUUUCCAUUUGCCUCCACGUCUUUCGUGUCGCCGUUUACAAUCAACGUUUGUGCCGUAUGCGUCGGACUGUCCAUGAUGGUCAGCGGGUUCUGCCAUGUGCGCCAAGUCGCAAAGCCAAAAUAAUGUAGUAUGGCGACAAGGGGAAUUAAUAUGAUUGAGACUAGACUCAUUGCAAUACCAACAAAUACAGCCCACGGUGGGAAUUUUAACUUCGGCAUCUUUCC